UACGUAGGGUGCGAGCGUUAAUCGGAAUUACUGGGCGUAAAGCGUGCGCAGGCGGUGAUGUAAGACAGUUGUGAAAUCCCCGGGCUCAACCUGGGAACUGCAUCUGUGACUGCAUCGCUGGAGUGCGGCAGAGGGGGAUGGAAUUCCGCGUGUAGCAGUGAAAUGCGUAGAUAUGCGGAGGAACACCGAUGGCGAAGGCAAUCACCUGGGCCUGAACUGACACUGUGACACGAAAGCGUGGGUAGCAAACAGG
rnacentral:rRNA from 1 species